rnacentral:rRNA from 1 species
GUGAACCUGCGGAAGGAUCAUUACCGAGUCGUCAACAAGAGUUGUUGCUGGUCCUCAAACGGGGGCAUGUGCACGCUCUGUUCACACAUCCACUCACACCCUGUGCACCCCCUCUGUGGUUCUACGGUCAGGGGGCCUGUCCUCCUGCUGUGGUUCUGCAUCUUUACACACACGCCGUAACAAAGUCUCAUGGAAUGCAUGUCGCGUUUAACGCAAUACAAUACAACUUUUAGCAACGGAUCUCUUGGCUCUCGCAUCGAUGAAGAACGCAGCGAAAUGCGAUAAGUAAUGUGAAUUGCAGAAUUCAGUGAAUCAUCGAAUCUUUGAACGCACCUUGCGCCCUUUGGCCAUUCCGAAGGGCAUGCCUGUUUGAGUAUCAUGAACACCUCAACUCAUCGUGGUUUUCCAUGAUGAGCUUGGACUUUGGGGGUUUUGCUGGCCUACGGUCGGCUCCUCUAAAAUAAAUCAGCUUACCGGUGUUUGGUGGGUAUCAUGGGUGUGAUAACUAUCUACGCUUGUGGUUUUUCCACCAGGUAACCUUCAGCAGUGAAGGUUCACUGGAGCUCAUAGACGUGUCUCUCCUCAGUGAGGACAGCCCUUUGAAUGUUUGAUCUCAAAUCAGGUAGGACUACCCGCUGAACUUAAGCAUAUCAAUAAG